UUAAGUUCAGCGGGUAUUCCUACCUGAUCCGAGGUCAAACUUUAGAAUUGGGGUGUUUUACGGCAGGGGACCGGCCCAACUACAGACGAGAUAGAUUUACUACGUCUAGAGUGUGAGACCGACUCCGCCACUAACUUUGGGGAGCUACGGUGAUGUAGGCUCCCAACGCUAAGCAACAGGGCUUAAGGGUUAAGAUGACG
rnacentral:misc_RNA from 1 species